UACGGGGGGGGCAAGCGUUGUUCGGAAUUACUGGGCGUAAAGGGUUCGUAGGUGGCUUGCUAAGUCAGACGUGAAAUCCCUCAGCUUAACUGGGGAACUGCGUCUGAGACUGGCAAGCUUGAGUGCAGGAGAGGAAUGCGGAAUUCCAGGUGUAGCGGUGAAAUGCGUAGAUAUCAGGAAGAACACCGAUGGCGAAAGCAGCUCUCUGGGACGGUACUGACGCUGAGGCGCGAAAGCGUGGGGAGCGAACAGG
rnacentral:rRNA from 1 species